rnacentral:tRNA from 1 species
GACGAGGUGGCCGAGUGGUUAAGCCGUUGGACUGCUAAUCCAAUGUGCUCUGCACGCGUGGGUUCGAAUCUCUUCCUCGUCG